GGCCAGACUCCUACGGGAGGCAGCAGUGGGGAAUAUUGCACAAUGGGGGAAACCCUGAUGCAGCGACGCCGCGUGAGCGAAGAAGUACCUCGGUAUGUAAAGCCCUAUCAGCAGGGAAGAAAGAAGACGGUACCUGACUAAGAAGCCCCGGCUAACUACGUGCCAGCAGCCGCGGUAAUACGUAGGGGGCGAGCGUUAUCCGGAUUCACUGGGUGUAAAGGGAGCGUAGACGGCCGUGCAAGCCAGGAGUGAAAGCCCGGGGCCCAACCCCGGGACUGCUCUUGGAACUGUGCGGCUAGAGUGCGGGAGGGGCAGGCGGAACUCCUGGUGUAGCGGUGAAAUGCGUAGAUAUCAGGAGGAACACCGGCGGCGAAGGCGGCCUGCUGGACCGCGACUGACGUUGAGGCUCGAAAGCGUGGGGAGCGAACAGGAUUAGAUACCCGCGUA
rnacentral:rRNA from 1 species